rnacentral:rRNA from 1 species
UACGUAGGGUCCGAGCGUUGUCCGGAAUUACUGGGCGUAAAGAGCUCGUAGGUGGUUUGUCGCGUUGUUCGUGAAAACUCACAGCUCAACUGUGGGCGUGCGGGCGAUACGGGCAGACUUGAGUACUGCAGGGGAGACUGGAAUUCCUGGUGUAGCGGUGGAAUGCGCAGAUAUCGAGAGGAACACCUGCGGCGAAGGCGGGUUGCUGGGCUGAUACUGACGCUGAGGCGCGAAAGCCAGGGGAGCGAACGGG